rnacentral:rRNA from 1 species
AUUGAACGCUGGCGGCAGGCCUAACACAUGCAAGUCGAACGAGUGGCGGACGGGUGAGUAAUGUCUGGGAAACUGCCCGAUGGAGGGGGAUAACUAAUGGAAACGGUAGCUAAUACCGCAUACCAUCGGAUGUGCCCAGAUGGGAUUAGGUAGUAGGUGGGGUAACGGCUCACCUAGGCGACGAUCCCUAGCUGGUCUGAGAGGAUGACCUGCCACACUGGAACUGAGACACGGUCUAGACUCCUACGGUAGGCAGCAGUGGCGAAUAUUGCACAAUGGGAGCAAGCCUGAUGCAGCCAUGCCGCGUGUAUGAAGAAGGCCUUCGGGUUGUAAAGUCCUUUCAGCGGGGAAGCGUUACCCGCAGAAGAAGCACCGGCUAACGCCGUGCCAGCCGCCGCGGUAAUUC